GCGAAUGCUGACAUGAGUAACGAUAAAGGGCGUGAAAAACGCCCUCGCCGGAAGACCAAGGGUUUCUGUUCGACGCUAAUCGGAGCAGAGUGAGUCGGCCCCUAAGGCGAGGCCGAAAGGCGUAGUCGAUGGGAAACGGGUCAAUAUUCCCGUACCGGACAUGGUUGCGAUGGGGGGACGAAGAAGGCUAGGUGAGCCAGGCGUUGGUAGUCCUGGUGAAAGUGAGUAGGCCGAGACCUUAGGUAAAUCCGGGGUCUUAAAGCCGAGACACGAGACGAACUGACCACGGUCAGGAAGUCACUGAUGCCACGCUUCCAGGAAAAGCCUCUAAGCUUCAGAUCAUGUGCGACCGUACC
rnacentral:rRNA from 16 species